UACGUAGGGUGCAAGCGUUAAUCGGAAUUACUGGGCGUAAAGCGUGCGCAGGCGGUGAUGUAAGACAGGUGUGAAAUCCCCGGGCUUAACCUGGGAACUGCAUUUGUGACUGCAUCGCUGGAGUGCGGCAGAGGGGGAUGGAAUUCCGCGUGUAGCAGUGAAAUGCGUAGAGAUGUGGAGGAACACCGAUGGCGAAGGCAGCCCCCUGGGUUAACACUGACGCUCAGGCACGAAAGCGUGGGGAGCAAACAGG
rnacentral:rRNA from 1 species